AAGUCGUAACAAGGUUUCCGUAGGUGAACCUGCGGAAGGAUCAUUACUGAGUGAGGGCCCUCUGGGUCCAACCUCCCACCCGUGUUUAUUGUACCUUGUUGCUUCGGUGCGCCCGCCUCACGGCCGCCGGGGGGCUUCUGCCCCCGGGUCCGCGCGCACCGAAGACACCAUUGAACUCUGUAUGAAGAUUGCAGUCUGAGCGAAAACUAAAUAAGUUAAAACUUUCAACAACGGAUCUCUUGGCUCUC
rnacentral:misc_RNA from 1 species